AGCCCAACGAGAUCGGGAUAACACCUGGAAACAGAUGCUAAUACCGGAUAACAAUAGAUGAUGCCUAUCAACUGUUUAAAAGAUGGUUCUGCUAUCACUCUUGGAUGGACCUGCGGUGCAUUAGCUAGUUGGUAGGGUAACGGCCUACCAAGGCGAUGAUGCAUAGCCGAGUUGAGAGACUGAUCGGCCACAUUGGGACUGAGACACGGCCCAAACUCCUACGGGAGGCAGCAGAC
rnacentral:rRNA from 1 species